UCAUCUCCGGGGGUAGAGCACUGUUUCGGCAAGGGGGUCAUCCCGACUUACCAACCCGAUGCAAACUGCGAAUACCGGAGAAUGUUAUCACGGGAGACACACGGCGGGUGCUAACGUCCGUCGUGAAGAGGGAAACAACCCAGACCGCCAGCUAAGGUCCCAAAGUCAUGGUUAAGUGGGAAACGAUGUGGGAAGGCCCAGACAGCCAGGAUGUUGGCUUAGAAGCAGCCAUCAUUUAAAGAAAGCGUAAUAGCUCACUGGUCGAGUCGGCCUGCGCGGAAGAUGUAACGGGGCUAAACCAUGCACCGAAGCUGCGGCAGCGACGCUUAUGCGUUGUUGGGUAGGGGAGCGUUCUGUAAGCCUGCGAAGGUGUGCUGUGAGGCAUGCUGGAGGUAUCAGAAGUGCGAAUGCUGACAUAAGUAACGAUAAAGCGGGUGAAAAGCCCGCUCGCCGGAAGACCAAGGGUUCCUGUCCAACGUUAAUCGGGGCAGGGUGAGUCGACCCCUAAGGCGAGGCCGAAAGGCGUAGUCGAUGGGAAACAGGUUAAUAUUCCUGUACUUGGUGUUACUGCGAAGGGGGGACGGAGAAGGCUAUGUUGGCCGGGCGACGGUUGUCCCGGUUUAAGCGUGUAGGCUGGUUUUCCAGGCAAAUCCGGAAAA
rnacentral:rRNA from 1 species